rnacentral:tRNA from 1 species
GGGUGGUUAACUCAGCUGGUAGAGUGUCAUCUUGACGUGGUGAAAGUCGUAGGUUCGAGUCCUAUACCACCCACCA